rnacentral:rRNA from 1 species
GACGACGCUGGCGGCGUGCUUAACACAUGCAAGUCGAACGGUGACGAGGAGCUUGCUCCUCUGAUCAGUGGCGAACGGGUGAGUAACACGUGAGUAACCUGCCCCAGACUCUGGAAUAACAGUUGGAAACAGCUGCUAAUACCGGAUACGAGACGGAGAGGCAUCUCUACCGUCUGGAAAGUUUUCGGUCUGGGAUGGACUCGCGGCCUAUCAGCUUGUUGGUGAGGUAAUGGCUCACCAAGGCGACGACGGGUAGCCGGCCUGAGAGGGCGACCGGCCACACUGGGACUGAGACACGGCCCAGACUCCUACGGGAGGCAGCAGUGGGGAAUAUUGCACAAUGGGCGAAAGCCUGAUGCAGCAACGCCGCGUGAGGGAUGACGGCCUUCGGGUUGUAAACCUCUUUCAGUAGGGAAGAAGCGAAAGUGACGGUACCUACAGAAGAAGCACCGGCUAACUACGUG